rnacentral:rRNA from 1 species
AAAUCAGGUAGGACUACCCGCUGAACUUAAGCAUAUCAAUAAGCGGAGGAAAAGAAACUAACAAGGAUUCCCCUAGUAACUGCGAGUGAAGCGGGAAAAGCUCAAAUUUAAAAUCUGGCGGUCCUUGCGGCUGUCCGAGUUGUAAUCUAGAGAAGCGUCAUCCGUGCCAGGCCGCGUACAAGUCUCUUGGAAUAGAGCGUCACAGAGGGUGAGAAUCCCGUCUCUGCCGCGGACUUCUGGUGCGUUGCGAUGCGCUCUCGACGAGUCGAGUUGUUUGGGAAUGCAGCUCAAAAUGGGUGGUAAAUUCCAUCUAAAGCUAAAUAUUGGCGAGAGACCGAUAGCGAACAAGUACCGUGAGGGAAAGAUGAAAAGAACUUUGGAAAGAGAGUUAAACAGUACGUGAAAUUGUUGAAAGGGAAACGCUUGAAGUCAGUCGCGUUUGCCGGGGAUCAGCCUUCCUUCCGGUUGGCGCACUUCCCGGUCGACGGGUCAGCAUCGAUUUCGUUCGCCGGAAAAAGUCGAGGGGAAUGUGGCACCUUCGGGUGUGUUAUAGCCUCUCGUCGCAUGCGGCGGAUGGGAUCGAGGAACUCAGCAUGCCGCAAGGCCGGGGUUCGCCCACGUUCAUGCUUAGGAUGCUGGCAUAAU